rnacentral:tRNA from 1 species
GUUCCUGUAGUUGAAUUUUUACAACGGUGGUUUUUCAGGCCACAGGUCUUGGUUAGGGUCCAGGCAGGAAUU